CCUACGGGAGGCAGCAGUAAGGAAUAUUGGUCAAUGGAGGCAACUCUGAACCAGCCAUGCCGCGUGCAGGAAGAAGGCCCUAUGGGUCGUAAACUGCUUUUGUACCAGAGAAAACCCGAGUACGUGUACUCGGUUGAUAGUAUGGUAAGAAUAAGCAUCGGCUAACUUCGUGCCAGCAGCCGCGGUAAGACGAAGGAUGCAAGCGUUAUCCGGAUUCAUUGGGUUUAAAGGGUGCGUAGGCGGACUGAUAAGUCAGUGGUUGAAAAUCUCUGGGNUUAACCGGAAACUGCC
rnacentral:rRNA from 1 species